rnacentral:lncRNA from 1 species
GAGUGUCUGCUGUUAAAAAUUAGUGUCUUGAGGUAGGAUAUGGCGCCUUGUGCCAUAUCUUUUGCAAUCUUUUCACCCAUUGUUCAAUAACAGUAUAGGCUUAAUAAUUCAUACUAAUGAGUAAUGGCCCGCUCGUAGGCGGCAAUGCUAGUUUGAAUGCUGUUAUUUAUCGUUGAAAUGAAUAACUGAUUAUUGAUAUCAGG